UGUCAAUGCUCGGAAGAGUGAACUAGCUAACUGAAAUCUUAAAAUCAUUAUAUAAUGGUUCUUAAGAUAACAUAAGGGAAAAAAAUGAUAGUACCUUAUUAUUAGUGUUGUCCAACAUUACUGGUGCCAGAAGACUCGGUAACGCCAGAAACGCAAACGUUAGUCGUCUUAAUCAGGCGUAAAGGGUAAGUAGGCUGCUUUAAAAGUUAAAAUUUAGAAAGCUCAAAAAAAAGUAAAUAAUAAUGAAUUAAAGCUAGAAUCAAAAAGAGGAUAAGCCAAAUAAUAUUUAGAGUAAGGCUGAUAUCUUCAAAUACUAAAUAGAAUUCUAAUGGUGAAAACUUUUAUCUAAUAAUGAUUGACGCUGAGGAACGAAGGUGAGAAUAGAAAACAGGAUUAGAGACCCAGGUAUCUCUCACUGUCAACGAUGAAUGGUAGUUGUUAGCUUAGCUUAAGUUAGUAACGAUGUAACGC
rnacentral:rRNA from 1 species